AGAGUUUGAUCCUGGCUAGGACGAACGCUGGCGGCGUGCCUAAUACAUGCAAGUCGAGCGAAUGACAAGGAGCUUGCUCCUUUGAUUUAGCGGCGGACGGGUGAGUAACACGUGGGUAACCUACCCUAUAGACUGGGAUAACUUCGGGAAACCGGAGCUAAUACCGGAUAAUACUUCGAAACACACGUUUUGAAGUUGAAAGAUGGUUUCGGCUAUCACUAUAGGAUGGACCCGCGGCGCAUUAGCUAGUUGGUGGGGUAAUGGCUCACCAAGGCAACGAUGCGUAGCCGACCUGAGAGGGUGAUCGGCCACACUGGGACUGAGACACGGCCCAGACUCCUACGGGAGGCAGCAGUAGGGAAUCUUCCACAAUGGACGAAAGUCUGAUGGAGCAACGCCGCGUGAGUGAAGAAGGAUUUCGGUUCGUAAAACUCUGUUGCAAGGGAAGAACAAGUAGCGUAGUAACUGGCGCUACCUUGACGGUACCUUGUUAGAAAGCCACGGCUAACUACGUGCCAGCAGCCGCGGUAAUACGUAGGUGGCAAGCGUUGUCCGGAAUUAUUGGGCGUAAAGCGCGCGCAGGUGGUUCCUUAAGUCUGAUGUGAAAGCCCCCGGCUCACCGGGGAGGGUCAUGGAAACUGGGGAACUUGAGUGCAGAAGAGGAUAGUGGAAUUCCAAGUGUAGCGGUGAAAUGCGUAGAGAUUUGGAGGAACACCAGUGGCGAAGGCGACUAUCUGGUCUGUAACUGACACUGAGGCGCGAAAGCGUGGGGAGCAAACAGGAUUGGAUACCCUGGUAGUCCACGCCGUAAACGAUGAGUGCUAAGUGUUGGGGGGUUUCCGCCCCUCAGUGCUGCAGCUAACGCAUUAAGCACUCCGCCUGGGGAGUACGGUCGCAAGACUGAAACUCAAAGGAAUUGACGGGGGCCCGCACAAGCGGUGGAGCAUGUGGUUUAAUUCGAAGCAACGCGAAGAACCUUACCAGGUCUUGACAUCCCAUUGACCACUGUAGAGAUACAGUUUUCCCUUCGGGGACAACGGUGACAGGUGGUGCAUGGUGUCGCAGCUCGGCG
rnacentral:rRNA from 1 species